GAUGGAGGAGGUGAGGAAGGACUCAAUGAUGGAGGAGUAGAAGUGCAGUUGUCGGAUCUCUGUUAUGCAACCCUCCGUUUGGUCACCCUCUGUUUGUUCCCUGUUUUGUGUCAGUUUAGUGCCUGGUAAUUUUUUAUGUAAGCGUCACCUUUUAAACUAUUUUUCAUCUCAUCAUGUUGUUACUCUGUGUGUUUUCACCUCCAGGAUUCCAGUCACAGGCCUAACUAUCCACAGACCCGCCCCCCACCUGCACCAGCAGUUCAAGCCGCUCAGGCUCCUCAAGCUGUAGUUGAGCCUUCACAGGUGGCCGUAAUUGUGACUGAAGCUGACUCAGAGCAAAUAGAGGACAUCUCCACUCCACCAACAGAACCUCAGGUGGAGCCAAUAGAAGCAGUUGCCACAGAAUCCUGAGCUAACCUUUUAUUGCUCCCUGUGCGGCCAUGCUGUUCUCAGAGAAAUGAAAAAAUGUCAUUGUCAGUAAUGCAAAUUUAUUCUUUUUUGUCUUUGUCAAGUUUGUAUGAUUAGGUCAGCACAUUUUUUGAUGGCUGUAUUGCAAGAUAACUGAAGGAAAAUACCAUAUUUUGAGACUAUAAGGUGCACUUAAAAUCUUACAAUUUAUGGUGCGCCUUAUAAUCCAGUGCGCCUAAUAUGUGAUUAUCGUUGUGCUAACUAACGGAUUUUAUGUGGUACAAUGCACUCAAAUCAAAUCAGUUAAAAUGUGUAAGUACGACUUUGGUUAGCAACGAAACCGCUUCGCUCAGUGAAUAUUUGGAGCAUAACGGUACACUAUGUCACUACCUGAUCGGCCCCCUGAGCAGUCUACAAGACUACCUGACUGUAAUUUCUAAACUUGAAGAGCAUUCAUGUGAGGCAGCUUGUGCCCAGCGUACACACUAGCAACAACAAACCAAGUAAGUUAAUUCAAUGUAAAAGUUACGUUUAUUUUGGCCUUAUGUUAGAAACAGGAUAAUGUAGUUCAACUACUCUGUCCUCCUGACAGGGACAGAUAGCUCUCCCUCUCAGGAGAGCACUGUGUACAAGGAGGGGCGGAAUGAUAUUACACACUUGGGAAGAAUGUUUAAUGCGCCUUAUAAUCCGGUGCAAUUUAUGUGUGGACAAAGACACACAUAGACACAUUUAUUCACAGUACACUUCAUGAUCCGGUGCGUCUUAGGAUGGUAAUUAUAUAUAGUAAUAUGGUAAUUUUUAUUUUAAAAUAGUCCCAAUAACUUUUGCACUUGCUCAAAUUUAUACCGUUAAAGUUACGUCUCUGGUGUAUUGUAAUACAUGUUAAUUCCUUGAAUUCCACGGAAAUGUGAACAGUAUUAUUCAAUUUAAUUCAUUUAAGAAAGUUAAACUUGGGAAGCAGACAUAUACUAAUUGUAGCUUCAAAUUAAAGCUGAGACUGUGAGAUAGAUAAAUAUACCCUGUACCCUUGUACAGAGUAUAUUCACUGCAUAGCUGUGUCCACUUCUGUGUUCAUAUUUUGUUAGUUGUCUGCUAAUGCUGGGCAUACACUGUACGAUAUUUUCAAUUGUGGUACUCAUAUACAGCUCAAACUGUACGACGAAACCACAGGGUUUAAAAGUUCACCGCUCACGAUAUAUGUUCUUACAAUGUGCGGCCCAAUUCUCUGAUGCGACCUGACUGCUCACACAGUGCGUUCAAAAACCACAUGUCAGUCUCAGCCCCUUAGAGAGAUGGAGCUACUCGGACUUGUCUACCCAGAAGCCAAAUAUCAACAGUAGAAGAAGAAAAAGGCGGUAGUGUCGAUGCUCACUGUUAAGUAUGAGGCUUACUAGAACAAAACGUGCAGCUUUGGAAAGUCUAAGAGUUGCUCCUGCGUAGUUUGACUCCCUGUCACAUGUACGGUCAUCAUGCUUCUCUCCCCUCCUAUGUUUUUCGCUUGAGAAGACAAAUAAGAAUCUACUUGUUUGCGCAUGCGCAGUGCGCAAGGUCGGGGGAAAUCGGCUCGUAGACGGUCUUAACUCCGCAUCAACAGCAGGACGUGCUAUCAAGCUGAAACUCGGCCCGAUCAAAAAGAUUCUCGUAUGACUGAAGAAUCGGCCCGAAAAGGGCAAAAACUCGUACAGUGUAUGCCCGGCUUACAAUAUGUUUUUAUAUGUUGCUUUUCCAGUCUUGUUGGUUAUGCUUUCUUACUAGGGGAAAUAUUCACUUAGCACUUCAUCUGUACAGUUUCUAACAGACAUUAACUUACACACAUGCCCUCAUUCAUUAGCAGCCUUAAUUAAUCGAACCGCCCACAGUCUGAUUGGCAGCCAGCUGCUGUUAAUCUUCAAGCCUAUUCUGUAGUUGGAAUUUUUUCUUGUGAUAACUUAUAUAGCAAAAUUUUUGUACUCAGGUAUUUAUUUAUUUAUUUUCUUCAAAGUUAUAACCAGUGUCCAAGCAUGAGUGUCAUGAAACAGAAGCAACGUUUAUAUCACUUGUAAUUAUGCUUAUGGUCCCACACAGCUCGCUACUGAGAUGUAUAUUAUGUACUGCUUUCUUGUUUGGUUUGCAACUUUGUCAGUAUUAUGUGUGAAAAAUACCAGAUAGCACGAUUAACAGUAUAAUCACAGUAAAAAUAAAACUAUUGGUAUGGAUUUGGAAUCUCAA